rnacentral:tRNA from 1 species
GCCGCCUUAGCUCAGGGGUAGAGCACUUGUUUUGUAAACAAGGUGUCGUGAGUCCGAAUCUCACAGGCGGCU